rnacentral:rRNA from 1 species
UACGUAGGAUGCAAGCGUUGUCCGGAUUUACUGGGCGUAAAGAGCUCGUAGGUGGUUUGUCACGUCGUCUGUGAAAUUCCGGGGCUUAACCUCGGGCGUGCAGGCGAUACGGGCAAUACUUGAGUGCUGUAGGGGAGACUGGAAUUCCUGGUGUAGCGGUGAAAUGCGCAGAUAUCAGGAGGAACACCAAUGGCGAAGGCAGGUCUCUGGGCAGUUACUGACGCUGAGGAGCGAAAGCAUGGGUAGCGAACAGGAUUAGA